GUACAAUCUCACCGGUGUAAACACAUUCUUUUCAUCAACAACUUCAGGCAUCUGUUGAGCUACCUUUAUUAUCUUACAAAAGUUAAAGAGGAGAGACUGAACGUAUUGGAAAAAGCGUGAGCAAAAUCUGUAGAGGAUUAAAGUGGGAGAGUGGGGAGCAGUUCAUAAAAGCAUUUUGUUUGAGGGGGGUUUUCAAAAAGAUGAUGAUGAAAGCCAUCUGAAAAUGGCAUGAGCACUAGGAGCUUAAUAACAAGCUACAGACAAGCAGAUGGUUGUUUUGGUGAAGAGCUGUUUAGGCUCUAGAAUUAAAAUAUAGCAAAUUCUUGGCAAUGGAAAGUACUCUUUGAUAAGUGAUCUGAAUGACAGAAUAUUACCAAAGCAGCACCACCUAAGGCUGGUGGGUAAUGAUUCAGAGGUAAAAAGCGUGAAGCGCGCAAAAGCAGGUUCUAUUGGGAGAAGGCUACUACGCCGAAAGAAUGUCCAAACAAACAGUUGAGAUUCUGAAAAGAAGAGGAAAGGUUUUAGAGUCACAGAUUGAAUCGCUUAACGCUGUAAUAAAGGAUCUCAAGUUUGAGGCCUUGUUCUUUGAUGAAACAGCUACCGAGGCUGCUGAGGGUAUUGUAUAAAUAAGAGAAGACUAUGUUGAAGAAGCUUUUAAUGAAGAUAAGGCCACAAAAGCAGGCGAAGAUGAUUUUGCUCGUAUUUUAUCGCGGAUUGCUGAAGAAGGUGAAGAUAAAGAAGAAGCUGAUGAGGCUGAUA